rnacentral:misc_RNA from 1 species
AAUAAAUAAAAACUGACUGUGGAAGUGAGAAAUGCGCGGCUGAUAAAGAUUGUGAUAAUCACGGUAUAAAACAAGAAAAACCGAAGAAUGAAAGGAAACCGCAACCAAAUUGGUUGAAUAAUAUUUAAGCCAACGCCAGUGCUGCAAAAAUCGGUGCGCAUUAUCAUUGGAACGUUCAGUGUUGCACAUCGUUGCCGCCCCACGCAUAAUCCAACACUCUCCCCCCUUCCCACCCAGAUCCACCCACUCUCACACAGACACACACCCUCGGAUACGGAUUCCUUCGUCUGCAUUAUAAUAUUGCGCUUAUUUCCUUUCGCGAGCUCAACGAUGCGACACGAUCAAUCCCUGGACAUUUUUAGUUUAUUUUGUUAAUUGUUGGAUGAUCCAUUAACUGCGUAAGGAGCACGUAGAUCAUUAUAAAAGACUUGGGAUCUUUGACGGAAGAAUUUAGUCAUGAGUCGCCUGCAGAAGCAAAACCACGAGAUCUUGAGCAGUGGUACAAGUAAGUCGCGUCGCAAGAAUCAGCAAAAUCCCCAUGAAUCGGGGUCACUAGCAUACGAGGAGCAGGAUCCAAUGGUGCGGAAUCAUUUGAAUGGCCACCUGGUGGCCAAUGGCAAUGGCAAUGCCAAAAAGCAGAAGAAUAGCAAAUCCGAGACGUUGACCAAUGGCAAAAAGGCCAAACUGAUUACGGAGGGAUCUGGCUCCAAUUCUGUCAAGACCUUGGCCUACAAUAAUAAUAACAAUAACAACAAUAGCAUCAGUGCCACAAACGGUCAGUACACCAAUAGCAGCAGCAAGACCACGUCAGCAUCUGCAAGGGAUUACACUUACCGCGAGACCAUAUCACCGCCCACACCUCCAUCUCCGCCCACCACAAAUGUGGCGGAGAUUGUUUGCAUAUCGGAUGCGGAGAGCGAGGAGGAGCGCGAUCCCGACCGGGACUACUACGACCAGGACACGGAGGAGGAGGAUCCAAGCGGGAGAGAGAUCAAUGAAUCGAGCUCCAGCAAGUCCAAGGCCAAGUCCAAUAAUGCAGCUGCAGCGGCGGCGGCUGCAGCAGCGGCAGCAGCAGCCUCGAUGGCUUCAUCCUCGGCCACGCCCUCCUACGCCAUGCCCACCAGCAAUAGUACGCCCCUCGAUCUGGACAAUGAGGCCCAUCAACGGGACCUGGAGGCGGUCACCGAUCUGCGAUCCUAUGUAAAAUUGUACAGUGACGAGGCCGUCAGUCUGAAUGAUUUCAAAAUAAUUCGCGUCCUAGGAACAGGUGCCUAUGGUCGGGUUUUCCUCGUUCGCAAGCUGACUAGACACGAUGCCGGAAAACUGUAUGCAAUGAAGGUUCUCAAUAAGAUAACGGUGGUGCAGAAGCGAAAAACAGCGGAACACACCAAAACGGAGAGAGUGGUACUGGAGGCUGUUCAACGUAGUCCCUUCCUCGUGAGUCUGCACUACGCCUUCCAGUCAUCUUCAAAGCUUUAUCUGGUGCUAGACUUUGCCAAUGGCGGUGAGCUCUUCACGCAUCUCUACCACUCUGAGAACUUCGAGGAGUCCCGGGUUCGUGUUUACAUAGCCGAGGUGGUGCUGGCUCUGGAGCAACUGCAUCAGUUGGGGAUUAUCUAUCGAGACAUUAAGUUGGAGAAUAUUUUGCUCGAUGGCGAGGGGCACAUUGUACUCUCCGACUUUGGACUGUCGAAGAUCCUUACCGCGGAGAAUGAAUACCGUGCGCACAGCUUCUGCGGCACUCUGGAGUACAUGGCUCCUGAGAUUAUUCGUACGGGGCCGCCGGGACACGACAGUGCCGUGGACUGGUGGUCGGUGGGUGUGCUCACUUUUGAGCUGCUCACCGGCGCUUCGCCAUUCGCUACGUCUGAUGGCCAGAGCCAGCAGUCGGAAAUCUCGCGGCGGAUUCAGAAGGAGCAGCCGUUGAUUCCCUCAUCGUUCAGUGCCAACGCCCGUGACUUUGUGCUAAAGAUGCUGGAGAAGAACCCAAAGCGACGGCUGGGAGGAAACCAUCGCGACGCCAGCGAAAUCAAGGAGCACCCCUUUUUCCACGGCAUUAACUGGCAGGAACUGCGGAACAAGCGUCGCAAGGCCCCCUAUAAGCCCACCCUCAACGCCGAGGACGAUGUCCAGAAUUUCAGCAACGAGUUUACCGACCAGGUGCCCGAAGAUCCCGAGUGCGAUGCCCCGCCUAGCCGGAUACGACUCUUCCGCGGCUACACAUACGUGGCGCCGGAGCAUUUGGAGCAGAUGCGACAGGAUAACAACUGUCACAUUCAAUACUGUAAUCCGGGACUUCAGAAUAUACCCUCUCGGCCUGAUGACCUUGAACUUGGCACCCGCACUGUUAGCGGAGCCUAUGGCACUUGCCAUUUUGUGGUGGACAGCUCUUCGGAGAUGGUGUUCAUGGCCAAAGUAAUACCGCUGUCCAAGUUCCGCCCCUCCGAGGUCGACGCGUUAAUCUCGUGCGCUCUCGACACGAACAGUCACAAGAACAUCGUCAGCUACCAUGGAACGUUCAGGGAUAAGUGCGAGACAUGGAUCAUAAUGGAGUACCUGUGCGGCGAGGAGCUAACCGCAUCCAUCCGCAUGGAUGAGGAUUCGUGUCGGGAGAUCUUUCUGCAGCUGGUUAUGGCUGUGCGGCACAUACACUCCAAGCACUUUAUUCACGGUGACCUGAAGCCGGAGAACGUAAUGUUCGAAAGCCGAGAGGACAAGAAUGUCAAAUUGGUCGAUUUUGGCAACGCAUGUUACAAUAGUCGUUUUCAAAGUUGGAAAGACAAGCCGCGUUACACGCUAGACUAUGCACCGCCUGAAAUGCUCGCGGAUGCGAAUCUCGUCACUUAUUCGCCAGCCGUGGAUAUAUACGGGCUUGGGGCCAUGCUGUAUACCAUGCUAGUGGGACAUCAGCCGUACAGACAGAACGAGGACGAUGUGGAUCACUCCGCAGCGGCCCAUCACGAGCUUCGCAAGCGAAUGCGGCGUGAAACGUUUAAUCAGCGUUCUAAGCGCUGGGAAAAUGCAAGUCCUGCGUUCCGACAUUUGGUGAGCUGGUGUCUGCAGCGGGAUCCGGCUGAUCGGCCCACAUUGUCAGAUAUUCUUGACAGCGAGUGGCUGCAGUACGGCUCAAAUGAUCCGGAUGUUGAUAUAAUUAUGCCGCUAGAGCAGCAGAUGGUUGUGGACCUCAGCGAAGAUACUAUGGAGCAACCGACGGCAGGUAUGUUAGUGGAGCAGGAACAUAUGGAAUCCACACACGACAAGUCGGCGGAAGAUGAUGGCAUAAUCCUAGUCAGCGAGCCCAUGGAAGCGACUGUCCUGGCUCACGAAUCUAGGAAAAAUACAGCCGCAUUACCCUCAGCUGUUGCUCCAUCCGACGACGAAGACUUGGUAGUGCACGAACGAUUUGACCCUGCCUUUGAGGUGCAACCGGACUUCUACGGCUUCGACGAGGAUGCGCCGCCCUUACCCCUUCCCGAGGAGUACUACAGUGAACUACCUCUGCCUGAGGAGGAUCGGCAGUACAUGCCACCUCCACCAGCUCCGGCUCCUGUUGAACCAGAAUCGACCUUCCGGCGGCCAAGAACGCGACAGCAGCGUCGCACUGAGAGCCAGCUAUUACACCCGGUUUCUACCGCUCCGCAGGAGGACAGCAAGGCGUCCCUGCGCCUACUAAUGCAGCAGCUGCCGCCGCCAGCUGAUACUGCGGUAGCACGCAUUCCGAAGAGAACCCAGCGAGUCGUACGUACAUUGCCUCCGUCCUUUGGAACUACAAAGCGAGAGGAGAGUUUCAAUGGAUUUAGUAAGACAGCAAUCUCGUGGCGAAAGACGCGGGCAAGCUGGAGGCAUUUCUGUCUGCUUAUCAAUGGUGUGCAGCAGGUGCUAAAGAUUCGGUUCAAAAAAACGCGUCGCGUCUACUGCCUGCCCAAUAUAAAAGUGGAAAAGCUUGAUCAUGCAUACGAGAAACCGCUGACGUUUCCGCGGCCCAGGGCGCAACUGAAGCGCGCCAAGCGGGAGCCCAAGGUGCCGCGGCCACCCACGCGAGUGCAACCGGAAAGGGCGCGGGCGCUGCGCCAACUUUAUCAGUUCCAAUGACAUGAGGAUGACGAGGAUGAUGAUGUGGAGGUGGUGGAAAUCAAGGAGGAGCCGCUAGGCGAUGGGGAGGAGCAACUGCGAGCGGUGCUGCAGUGGGAGGGCGACUUCAGGAGGCAACGGAUGUACAGCUGACCACACACAUUGACCCAAUGGCCCAUCCAGGACAACGACAACCAGACACCAGCCAAAACAGAGGGUGAACACCCAGCGGGUUUCAGCACCCAGCAACAAACCCACUAGCCCCCCUCACUAAGAAUCGUGACCAUGAGGGGAAGGAUCCGCAAGACGCACCAAAGAUCCUGUCAAUACAGUUUUUCAAUUGAAACUAAUGGGGAAAAGAAGUAUCGCCCGAAGAGCCAUUUCCACAUGAAACUGCGAAGUUCUUCUUUGAGAUUGUGCCGAAAAUAUAUCGUUUUUUGCACACAAUACUCAACUUUUGAGAACCGU